AACGGUCUAUACCUGCGGUACCUGCGGAAGGAUCAUUACAGAGAACUUGCCUCCGGGCAGAUCUCCAACCCGUGUCUAUCGUGCCCUGUUGCUUUGGCAGGCCCGCCUUCGAGGCCGCCGGCUCCGGCUGGCCAGCGCCUGCCAGAGGGACCACAACUCAUAAGUUAGUGUUGUCUGAGUACCAUUCAAAUAGCAAAAACUUUCAACAAUGGAUCUCU
rnacentral:misc_RNA from 1 species